rnacentral:rRNA from 1 species
GACGAACGCUGGCGGCGUGCCUAAUACAUGCAAGUUGAGCGCUGAAGGUUGGUACUUGUACCAACUGGAUGAGCAGCGAACGGGUGAGUGACGCGUGGGGAAUCUGCCUUUGAGCGGGGGACAACAUUUGGAAACGAAUGCUAAUACCGCAUAAAAACUUUAAACACAAGUUUUAAGUUUGAAAGAUGCAAUUGCAUCACUCAAAGAUGAUCCCGCGUUGUAUUAGCUAGUUGGUGAGGUAAAGGCUCACCAAGGCGAUGAUACAUAGCCGACCUGAGAGGGUGAUCCGCCAAAAUGGGACUGGGACACGGCCCAAACUCCUACGGGAGGCAGCAGGAGGGAAUCUUCGGCAAUGGACGAAAGUCUGAACGAGCAACGCCGCGUGAGGGAAGAAGGUUUUCGGAUCGUAAAACUCUGUUGGUAGGGAAGAACGUUGGUGAGAGGGGAAAGCUCAUCAAGUGACGGUAACUACCCAGAAAGGGACGGCUAACUACGUG